rnacentral:tRNA from 1 species
GGUGUAGCUCAGUGCUAGAGUGCUUGCCUAACAGGCAUGAGCCCUGAGUUGGAUCCUCAGCACC